UGGGGAAUAUUGGACAAUGGGGGAAACCCUGAUCCAGCAAUACCGCGUGGAGGAAGAAGGCCCUUGGGUUGUAAACUCCUGUCGUGAGGGACAAAGGCUUUUGGGUGAACAAUCCAGAAGUUUGAUGGUACCUCAGGAGGAAGCACCGGCUAACCUCGUGCCAGCAGCCGCGGUAAUACGAGGGGUGCAAGCGUUGUUCGGAAUCACUGGGCGUAAAGCGCGUCUAGGCUGUUUGCUAAGUUCGUUGUGAAAGCCUCCGGCUCAACCGGAGAUGUGCAAUGGAUACUGGCAGACUUGAAUGAUGGAGAGGUGGGCGGAAUUCCGAGUGUAGCAGUGAAAUGCGUAGAUAUUCGGAGGAACACCAGAGGCGAAGGCGGCUCACUGGCCAUUUAUUGACGCUGAAGCGCGAAAGCAUGGGGAUCAAACAGG
rnacentral:rRNA from 1 species